rnacentral:misc_RNA from 1 species
GAUGAAGAACGUAGCGAAAUGCGAUAAGUAAUGUGAAUUGCAGAAUUCAGUGAAUCAUCGAAUCUUUGAACGCACAUUGCGCCCGCCAGUAUUCUGGCGGGCAUGCCUGUUCGAGCGUCAUUUCAACCAUCAAGCCCCAGGCUUGUGUUGGGGACCUGUGGCUGCCGCAGGCCCUGAAAACCAGUGGCGGGCUCGCUGUCACACCGGGCGUAGUAGAUUUUAUCUCGCUCAGGGCGUGCUGCGGGUUCCGGCCGUUAAAAAGCCUUUUUUACCCAAGGUUGACCUCGGAUCAGGUAGGAAUACCCGCUGAACUUAAGCAUAUCAAUAAGUGGAGGA